rnacentral:pre_miRNA from 1 species
GGCACAAACUUGAAGUAGAGUAGAUGAGUAGGAUCAGAUGGUAUUACUAAGCUACUCUGCUUCGAAUUUGGCCC